rfam:Streptomyces afghaniensis 772 genomic scaffold STAFG_scaffold467, whole genome shotgun sequence.
ACCCGGCCGACUCCUCCCCCCCGAGUCGGCCGUGGGGACCGACCCCCGCUCCGUCCCCCCCGGGCGGGGGUCGUCGCAU